ensembl:lncRNA novel transcript, antisense to ornithine decarboxylase antizyme 2 OAZ2
CUGUUAGUGCCUUUUAUUUUCUCAGUGAUAGGACAUGCCCUUGGAAACACUCCUCAGAAUACAUAUGAGUGCUACUAACAUAUCACAUCCUGCUGCCUCUAAUUUAAAGUGUCUGUGAAACUGUUGUCUGAAAUGCCCUUAGCAGGUUACAAUUUCACACACUGACUACAGACAGGCAGCGUAUGCAGCAGAUGUACAGCUGGGCAAUGAUGAUGGUAAAUAAAAUUUUUAUAAUUCAAA